GGGAUCUUCGGACCUUGCGCUAAUAGAUGAGCCUAAGUCGGAUUAGCUMGUUGGUGGGGUAAAGGCCUACCCAGGCCACCAUCCGUAGCGGGUCUGAGAGGAUGAUCCGCCACACUGGGACUGAGACACGGCCCSACUCCUACGGGAGGCAGCAGUGGGGAAUAUUGGACAAUGGGGGGAACCCUGAUCCCCCCUGCCGCGUGUGUGAAGAAGGCCUUAUGGUUGUAAAGCACUUUAAGCGAGGCGGAGGCUACUGAGACCACUACUCUUACAUACUGGACGUUAGUCCCA
rnacentral:rRNA from 1 species